rnacentral:RNase_P_RNA from 1 species
CAAGCGGGCCGGACGGUCGCGGGCGCGCAAGCGCGCGAGGAAAGUCCGAACUCCGCAGAGCGAUGUGCCAGGUAACGCCUGGGACCUUGGUCUCAAAGCCAAGGGACGGAAAGUGCCACAGAGAAAAUACCGCCUGGGCCGCAAGGCCCCGGUAAGGGUGAAAAGGUGCGGUAAGAGCGCACCGGCCGGCUGGCAACAGACGGCGCAUGGCAAACCCCACAUGGAGCAAGACCAAAUAGGCAGGGAGUCCGGGGAAACCUGGACGCGAACCGGCUCGGCUCGCCAAACCUGCGGGUAGGUCGCUGGAUCCAGAUCGCGAGGUCUGGACUAGAGGAAUGACCGUCCCUCUCGCCGUUCCUUGGAACGACGGGGGGACAGAAUUCGGCUUACAGGUCCGUUGGCACA